rnacentral:sRNA from 1 species
GCCCAGCCCCUUACCACCCUGCCUGCCGCCCUGGUCUGCCAUAGCUCUCGGUGCUGGUACGGGCCGCCGUGGAGGACAACACGCUCACCAUUGAGCCGGUGGCUUCGCAGACGCUGCCCGCAGUGAAGGUGGCCGAGGUUGACUGCAGCAGCACCAACACAUGUGCCCUGAGCGGGCUGACCCGCACCU